GACGAACGCUGGCGGCGUGCUUAACACAUGCCAGUCGAACGAAGAGCGAUGGAAGCUUGCUUCUAUCAAUCUUAGUGGCGAACGGGUGAGUAACGCGUAAUCAACCUGCCCUUCAGAGGGGGACAACAGUGGGAAACGACUGCUAAUACCGCAUACGAUCUAAUCUCGGCAUCGAGGAUAGAUGAAAGGUGGCCUCUACAUGUAAGCCAUCACUGAAGGAGGGGAUUGCGUCUGAGUAGCUAGUGGGAGGGGUAACGGCCCCCCGAGGCGAGGAUCAGUAGCCGGGCUGAGAGGAUGAACGGCCACAUUGGGACUGGGACACGGCCCAGGAUUCUACGGGAGGCAGCAGUGGGGGAUCUUGCGCAAUGGACGAAAGUCUGACGGAGCAACGCCGCGUGAGUGAUGACGGGCUUCGGGUUGUAAAGCUCUGUUAAUCGGGACGAAAGGCCUUCUUGCGAAUAGUGAGAAGGAUUGACGGUACCGGAAUAGAAAGCCACGGCUAACUACGUG
rnacentral:rRNA from 1 species